CCAUUCUCACCCUAGAUGUGAGGAACAGGGACUUCCCUGAGGCUAGACAGGGCAGGGUGAUUGCUUAGCAGAUGGAGAAGCAGCCCGAUGGUUUUUUCCAUGGCCUUUGGAGUCUGUGGAAAUCAGGGUCUCUUCCUUUGGAGUGAAUUCCCUGGCCAUUACUGCAAUGCCCUGGCUUGCCCUGGUCCCAUGGAACUGAGAGAUGUCAUUGUAACAGUCAUGGAACUGAGAGAUGUCAUUGUAACAGUCAGUUCACACUGUGCCUCUGGACUUGAGCUCACCUGGCAUGAGGCCUGGAGUGACCUGGCUUCGAGGAGUAAAGUCUUGGCACCAACUUCUCCACCCCAUUCUCAGGAUGUGGAGCCCUUAAACCACCUAAGGGCUUCGGGCCAUUCCCACUCCGCAGCUGUCUGGCAGCUCAGGCUCUGUUCAGAAGAGGAUAAACUGCUUCCGGCACCUCACCGUCCUUUUCUCAAAGCCUCCCCUUCCCCAGAUGUGUCUCCCUUUGAUAGUUACACAGUCAGUUCAAUAAACACUUGGACAUAGUAAAAAUGAGCCCUGCCUCCACCAGCCAAGCUAACAGGAAGCCCUGGCUGUCACUGUGUCCCAUGCUCUGUCCACUUCCCUGCUAGAAUGAUAAUGAUCAUUUUUACAGUUUCCCUAGAGCGGUACUUCUCAGCCUUCCUAAGGUGGGACUCUUUGACACAGUUCCUCAUGUUAUGCUGCUCCCAACCAUGGAUGCCCAUCUGCUUUUAUGCUCACAUGGCCGCCAUCAAUCUGCAUGUGACAACGUCAAGUUGAGAAGACAAAUAGCCAGCACAUGCCUGAUGCAUCUACCUUGUCCCCUCCAACAUGCCGGAAGAAAAGCAUAGCCACCUGAGGACUUGCUGACACAUUACUUGGAUUUGUCUCUCCUGAAGAGCAGCUCCAUGUCACUUCACGCCCUGGUUCAGAACCAGCCCAGCAAUUCACAUUUCAUAUCCCUCACUGCCUGUUCUGCUCUGCUACAGGGCCAAGGUGAGCUCGCUUAUGGGCCAACACUUGCUUUCAGGAAUGCAGCUCCAAUUUGUUCUCUAAGAAGAGUGAGGAAGAAAGCUUGUUUUCUUUUAGGGUCUGGACUUGCUUGCCGGGAAAUAGAAGGAAGGAAUGAGGUUGCAGGUGGAAUUUGUCUGGGCCUUCCUUUUCCAUCUGGGAGACAGAGGUUAGUCCCUGGGGAGGUGAAAUGCUCCUCAGCAUGUCAUUGUAUGAGCCCAGACAGGCAGGGUGGGUACAAAGGUGAGUGAUGGCCCUCACAGGCCUAGGUUGGAGGUUCUAGGCUCCAGUUACUAGAAGGACUAGUGGGGUCAUUGAAAUAGUGUGGGGAGGACUGAUGAUCAAUCAGAAAAACUAUCUAAAACCCCAAGAUCUUUAAAGUGCGUAAGUUACCUUUCUGUUACAGCGACAGACAUUCAAUCACCCGAGAGGAAGAAAGGUUUGUUCUGCCCACAGUUUGUGAGGUUUCGGUCUACAGUUGCUUGGCCAUGUUGCUUCUAGCCUGUGGUAGCUCAGGACAUGGUGGUUGGAGAAUGGAGUUGAAUAGACUGCUGUGGCAGCCAGGAAGCAAAGAGAAAAAAGAAGAACAAGGAAAGUCCCCAACUCCCCAAGAGCAUACCCAACAUGGGUCUUGUCUAAUCAUUCAAAGACCAGAGUAGAAGGACAUCCCUUCAAGACAGCACCCAAGAAAUCUGCUUUAGUUUCUAGAAUCUGCAGACAUAAGACUCAAAGAUCAGCUCUUAUCUGACAUGCUUCCUGCCACGUUCUGAAAGCUUACUGAGUUUUGAAUUGCCAGUUCUCGUAAUGACAAAACCCAAUUCCUUAAAAGUCACCCUUCUUCUUGCAUUUGUAUGUGUAUCCACAUGCAUGAAUAGGAACCAUAUCAAUGUCUUCAUCUAUCCUACUAUUUUUGUUUCUUUGAAAACCCUGCCUAUGCUCCUUAAAAUUCCCAGGAGGCCUCAAGAAACCCUUGCACAAGGAGGCUUUCCUAGAUGUGAGACCAUAUGGCAAAACUGAAUGGGUGAAUUAGGAGUGUGGAAACAAGAAUGAACUAGGUUCUUCUAAAAUAAGUGACUGCUACUCAACCUUCUGUUGUCCUGAGACAGGGGAAAUCUGGCCUAUCAGAAAACGUGAUAUUGCAUCAAAUGAAGCCCAAACCCAGUUACCAUGGGAAAUCACUGUAGGCAAGCAUCCUAGUUAGGUUGCUAUUGCUAUGAUAAGUACCAUCACCAAAGAACAGAAACAAAAACCAGGAAAGGGAAGGGUUUAUUUCAUCUCACAACUCCUAGGCGGGGAAGACAGGGUAUUCAAGGGAAGAGCCUACAGAUAGGAAACGAAGCAAAAUUCACGGAGGAGCACUGCUGACUGGUUUGCCCCUCAUGCCUGCUUAGCCACCUUUCUGGUACAACCCAGGAUCACCUGCCCAGGUGUGGCACCACCCACAGUGGGCUGGGUCCUCUCACAUCCAUCAUUAAUCAAGAAAAUGCUCUAAAGGCCAGUAUGAUGGAAGCAUUUUCCCCCUAUUUGAGAGUCCUCAUCUCAGAUGUCUCUAACUUGUAUCAAGAUGACAAGAAAAAAAACACAACAAAAACCACAACAACAACAAAAAAAACUAAGCAGGCAAAAGGGCUUUGCAAAAGACACAGGUUUUAAGCAUCACCCGAGGGAUCCAGUCUUCAGCAAUGUGUAGGGAAUGCUAGAUUUGAUGACAUAAAAAAUAGGCACAGGACCUCUUUGUACUCAAGGACCAUCCUGCAGAGAGAGGAAAAAUCUAGCUCAUGAGUUUGAAUCUUUCUGAAAAGAAAAACAGUUUUAAUUAUUCUUACUUUGGUUCUUCAAGAGGCUUUUGUUUUUAUUUCACCACAAUAUUUCCUUGCUUAAAUACUAAGGUGAAAGGGGAAAUGAAGUUUCAAUUUUUUGUUGACUUCAUUUAUGUCACCCUUUUGAAUUCUGUCAGAUACAUUUUUAGCAGCUGGGAACUGAAUGGAGCUUUAAGAAGACAAGGUAACUUCCUGAACCUUCUACCCAGGCUAUUUCUGUCUUGCCACUUUCAAAGGGCUCACCAGCCAAGGCAUGAAGGAACAAAUAACAAAGGUGAAAAGAAAGCCUUGUUAUGUAGGAGGCAGGCUUGCACAGAACAUGUGAUUUAGGUGGCAGGAGGUAUGGGUGUGAAUCAUGGAAUUGUAUGGCACGCACCCCCCAUCAGCAGAAAUGGUUCAAUGAAACAGACCAACCUAUCAUUGAAAGUGACAAAACUGCUGGUUAAUUAUUGAACCACAGAGAGCGCAACCGAUUUUGACUUUUUUUUCCCUUUCAAAAACAGCUAAUUUCUGAGGAUAUAUUUCCCCCAGCUUUCCAGUGCAUUCAGUGUUACAGAAAAUUUGAUGAUUCAUGUAAUUGAGCGAAAAUCUGUGUUAUUAUAUAAGAGGAUGGAAAUGAUUAAACUAUCACUUGGGUGCCUCUCA